GACGAACGCUGGCGGCGCGCCUAACACAUGCCAGUCGAACGAGCGAGCGAGAGCUUGCUUUCUCGAGCGAGUGGCGAACGGGUGAGUAACGCGUGAGGAACCUGCCUCAAAGAGGGGGACAACAGUUGGAAACGACUGCUAAUACCGCAUAAGCCCACGACCCGGCAUCGGGUAGAGGGAAAAGGAGCAAUCCGCUUUGAGAUGGCCUCGCGUCCGAUUAGCUAGUUGGUGAGGUAACGGCCCACCAAGGCGACGAUCGGUAGCCGGACUGAGAGGUUGAACGGCCACAUUGGGACUGAGACACGGCCCAGACUCCUACGGGAGGCAGCAGUGGGGAAUAUUGCACAAUGGGGGAAACCCUGAUGCAGCGACGCCGCGUGGAGGAAGAAGGUCUUCGGAUUGUAAACUCCUGUUGUGGAGGAAGAUAAUGACGGUACUCAACAAGGAAGUGACGGCUAACUACGUG
rnacentral:rRNA from 1 species